UCCUGCGUCUGGGGCACCCACGUCACACCCUUCAUCUGCUCAGUCAGCCCGAGGACAUCGGACAGACCUGGCGCGGCCGGGCGGUGCAGGCCUGCUUCAGCCUUCUUUGGCCUGGGCUUGAAGGCAGGCCUGCGCCUGAGGGGUCUGCGGUGGUCUGGGGUGCUCCGCGGAGGUCUGGGGUGGUCUGCAAUGGCCCGAGGUGGCCAGAGGGGUCUGGGGUGGUCUGCAGUGGUGUGGUGUGGGGUGGGGUGGUCUGGGGUGGUCUGCAGUGGUCUGGGGUGGCCUGAGGGGUUUGGGGUGGUCUGGGGUGGUCUGCAGUGGUCUGGGGUCAGCUGGGCCUUUGCCUGCUGUUUGGUGCCCAGUGCAGGCCCGCAGGUUAAUGGUCAGUCUGGUCAGCCUGUGUCCUAGGGGAUGGAGGUGUCAGAUUUGGAUGAAGAGCUGGGGUAGGGGGGCUCAGCACUGCCAUGGUGGCGGCUCUGAGUUGGGGGUGACUGGAAUGGGCCUGGGCCACCCCCACGCUGGCAGUGCUCCAACUCAGCUCUGAGCCCCUCUUUCCUUCCUGCCGCCACCCCCACACCCGGCUCUCAUCACCUCACACCUGGGCUCUUGCAGCAGCCUGGCCUCCCCCUGGGCUCUGCACUCUGCACACAGUAGGCACCCUCUGCACACACCAGACCCUUGACUUGGGAGUGGGCAGGGAGGCCCCCAAACAGCACCCUCAUCGUGACUCCGCUGAUGCAGCUGGCCAGUGCCCAC
rnacentral:lncRNA from 10 species